rnacentral:rRNA from 1 species
UUUGCUUGAUCCCUUCGGGGUGAUUGCUUUGUGACUGAGUGGCGGACGGGUGAGUAACGCGUGGGUAACCUGCCUCAUACAGGGGGAUAACAGCUGGAAACGGCUGCUAAUACCGCAUAAGCGCACAGUACCGCAUGGUACGGUGUGAAAAACUCCGGUGGUAUGGGAUGGACCCGCGUCUGAUUAGCCAGUUGGCGGGGUAACGGCCCACCAAAGCGACGAUCAGUAGCCGACCUGAGAGGGUGACCGGCCACAUUGGGACUGAGACACGGCCCAAACUCC